CCCAGGUAUACCCACCACCACUGUCUGAACACACAGUGCCCAGGUAUAUCCAGCACCACUGUCUGAACACACAGUGCC